UGUAAGCGUAUACCAAAGUUGUUGCAGUUAAAACGCUCGUAGUCGGAAUUUGGCAGUUCCGGAUGUGUGCACGUCGUGUGCGCACUUCGCGGGGAUUGCUUUUGUGGUCUUGCGUAGGAUGAGGCACUUUUAUUAGUGAACGUCCUCACGCAACCACUUUUUACUGUGAGAAAAUCAGAGUGCUCAAAGCAGGCAUUUGCCGUGGAUGUAUUAGCAUGGAAUAAUAGAAUAGGACUUGGUUCUAUUUUGUUGGUUUGUUGGGACUGAGUAAUGAUUAAGAGGGACAGUUGGGGGCAUUUGUAUUUCGGUGCUAGAGGUGAAAUUCUUAGAUUACCGAAAGACAAACUGCUGCGAAAGCGUCUGCCAAGGAUGUUUUCAUUGA
rnacentral:rRNA from 1 species